CCGAGUAGCUGGAACUCCAGGCGCCCGCCAUUAUGCUCGGCUCAUUUUUUGUGUUUUCAGUAGAGACGGGGUUUCACUGUGUUAGCCAGGAUAGUCUUGAUCUCCUGACCUCGUGAUCCUGACCUCGGCCUCCCAAAGUGCUGGGAUUACAGGCGCCAGCCACCGCGCCCGGCAGCAAUAUGAAGUUCUAAAAGCAAGUCUUCAUCAGGAAGUGUCCUUGAUCACCAAAGGCUCGCCCAGGCAUGCUGGCUCUCUUACACUUCCACCUUCCACCAUGGGAUGACGCAGUAAGAAGGCCAUCAGUAGAUGCCAGUCCCUCAACCUUGAACUUUCCAGAUGCAGAACUUUAUGCCUCCAUUUUCCUCUGCUGCAUGGCCCCAGGAGAGAUUUUAAUUAGCUUUCUAACCUUGGUCCAGAUUGCACAUGCAAACGGUAGAGGAUGCAACACCCCCGCUUGUGGAGCUGCCGCUUGUGUCUGGCAUGAAAAUUCACAAGAAGAGAGGAAAUACUGAGGAGAAAAUGGCAGAUUGUGUUUGCUGAAUUUGAUUGACAAAGAAGUCACCAUGAAAAUCACAGUGAACCAUUUGGAAAGCAAACUGCCAAAAAAUAAUAGUUAGUCAUGCUCUCAGGUUGGUUGUUUUGGCUGUUGUGGGUUUCUUGCAUUUCCAGAUGAUUGCAAAGAGCUGUUUCUCAAUUUCUGCAACAAAUGCCAGCUGAAAUUUUGGUACCAGUUUCAUUAAAUAUGUAGAACAAUUUGAGCCUGAGUGAGUUCUGUGGAGCCCGUACUACCUGUGAUUCAAGCCAGCAACCUUGGAAUCUCCCUGAACAAUUUCUACGAUGUCCAAUCACAUUUGCAAUUACUCCCCACACUCGGUAGGUUCUGCCCCCACAUCAUUUCUUUUCUCUAUCCUCUCUUUCCCAGCUUUAUAAUAUGACUUAGUUCAAGCCCUAAUCACUGGAUUAUUCAAAGUCCCUUAACAGGUUAAUUCCUACUGUGAUCAACACUUUAAAGGAAGGCAAUAGGGCCGGGCGCGGUGGCUCACAGCUGUAAUCCCAGCACUUUGGGAGGCUGAGGCGAGUGGAUCACAAGGUCGGGAGUUUGAGACCAGCCUGGCUAACACAGUGAAACCCAGACUCUACUAAAAAUACAAAAAAUUAGCCGGGCGUGGUGGUGGGCACCUGUAGUCCCAGCUACUAGGGAGGCUGAGGCAGGAGAAUGGUGUGAACCCGAGAGACGGAGCUUGCAGUGAGCCAAGAUUAUGCCGCUGCACUCCAGCCUGGGUGACGGAGCAAGACUCCAUCUCAAAAAAAAUAAAAAAAUAAAUAAAAUAGAAAGGCAAUGGCUAUACCAAAUUGCUGAAGCCUUUGCUAAAAGCACAGACAGAAAACAACAAUAUGGUAAUGUUUGUGUUAAAGAAAUGUUGUUGAUUCUAGGACACAGGUCAGAUGGCAGAUAAUCAAACUUAAUGUUGAUCCCAGGGGUGGCUGUAUCAUCACUAAGGCCAAAUCACAACGUUGGUCUCAUGGGAACACAGAUCUUGGGUUUGGAAAGAGCACAGGCUUGGGCAUGGGAAUGGACACAGGGUAAUUUUAAGAUGACUAGAGGUUCCUCAAACCCUAAAAGUACCACUGAACCUUGUUUAAAGCUAAAAUGGCUCCUAAAUGAUAGAGAAGUUUCUCAGUUAUCUCUGCAAACUGAAGAUCCUAUCAGCCUGUUCAGGGUCUCACAGGCUUCUGGAUUUGUACAUGAUGUCCCUACAGUGGCAAUGGGGACUGAUGAGAGCCACCAUUCCCAUUGGAGGAGGGCAAGCUGCCACUGAGUGUCAGCUGCUGGAGUAAAUAUCCAAUCACAUGUGUACCUGUAUCCUCUGGAUAUUGGCUUCCCCUCAUACAACUUGUUGUUCCUUUGUUUUCCAUUCCUGACUAUAUUUGAAUCUUUCUUGGAUUUCCAGGAAACAUCUGACUGCUUUCCUGUGCUACUUCAUACCCAAGAGAAGCUCAAGGAGAUUCUUUAAGGUCCUUUAUGCCCAUUAUGAUAGUACAUGAAUAGGUAAAUGUACCACUGCUCCCUGUACUUCUUGGAUAAUGCACAAAUAGUAAGACAGUCUCACAACCAGCAGCCUAGACAGCCCAAAUAUGUGAAACCAAAACAGCUUGAUCUUCCAGACCUGUUCUGACUCCUGGAGUCUUAAAUCUCCAAGCCUCUUGAAUGUUUCACCCACAGCCUUCCCUUUGGGAUCUGGCAUGGGAAAGGAAGGGCAGAGAAGGGCCUGGGGCUUUUCCUCAGGGAUCCACCACAGUCUAGGCCAGUGGGUGGCAAACUUUUUCUGCAAAGGAUCAGCUGGGAGAUAGUUUCAACUUUGUAGUCUCGUCGCAGCUACUCUACUCGACUCUGCCACUGGAGUGUGAAUGCAGUCAUGAAUAAAAGAAUGAAAGUUUUCCAGUGAAACUUUAGUCACAAAAACAGUCUGCAGGCUGUGUCUGGCCCAUGGGCUUUGGUUUGCUGGCCUGCGGGCUCCUAGAAGGCUCUGACUUUAUCCCUCUGUGAGGGAAAGCAGGUUUUGGGGUAUUCUCCCAAAUCUUUAUACCUUAUGUCUGUGUCUCUUUUUAAAUUAAAAGUAAAAUUUAGGCCA
rnacentral:lncRNA from 1 species